UAACGGUCAAAAUAUUUUUUAUACGAUUAAUCUUAAUACCAUCAACUAUCUAUUAACAUAUUUUGAUUAUUACUAACAAAAUUAUUAGGAUCAAAUAAUUGAUAUAUUGGAUGUAAUUAAAAAAAAUGUGUAAUAAAGGAGAGUCAAGUACCAUCAUCAUAUGUAAACACUAUAUUGGGAGGGACAUUACUACCAUUGAAAAUUGGUUCAGACAUUAAUCAUUAGGUUGCCAAUCAAACAAAUUAGACAAGAAAUGGCCAAAUGGG
rnacentral:lncRNA from 1 species